AGUUUCUUUUUUGUUUUCUCUUCAGGAGGAGUAUUGGAGAUUGAUAUCACAUCAAACUUUGUGCCACCAUGCCUAUGUUUAUUCCUGUUCAUGAACCCUCCCUUAAUAUGGGGCAAAACUUACCUCCACAGGGAUACAAUGUGGACUAUGAUAUGACUAUCAUUCCUUCCGUCAGAGCUCCUGGUUCUAGAGCAAGCUACCCGCGAGGAAGAAUGCCAAGAUUAUUUCCUGCAGGAUCUUCACAUUCAGGAGUA